UACGUAGGGGGCUAGCGUUGUCCGGAAUCAUUGGGCGUAAAGCGCGCGUAGGCGGCCCGGUAAGUCCGCUGUGAAAGUCAAAGGCUCAACCUUUGAAUGUCAGCGGAUACUGCCGGGCUAGAGUCCGGAAGAGGCGAGUGGAACUCCUGGUGUAGCGGUGGAAUGCGCAGAUAUCUGGAGGAACACCGGUGGCGAAGGCGGCAUCCUGGACCGGUAUUGACGCUGAUGCGCGAAAGCCAGGGGAGCAAACGGG
rnacentral:rRNA from 1 species